CAGUCGCCGCGGGAAUACGGAGGGUGCGAGCGUCAAUCGGAAUAACUGGGCGUAAAGGGCACGCAGGCGGUGACUUAAGUGAGGUGUGAAAGCCCCGGGCUUAACCUGGGAAUUGCAUUUCAUACUGGGUCGCUAGAGUACUUUAGGGAGGGGUAGAAUUCCACGUGUAGCGGUGAAAUGCGUAGAGAUGUGGAGGAAUACCGAAGGCGAAGGCAGCCCCUUGGGAAUGUACUGACGCUCAUGUGCGAAAGCGUGGGGAGCAAACAGGAUUAGAUACCCCAGUAGUCCCUGUCUCUUAUAC
rnacentral:rRNA from 1 species